CGCACCUUGCGCCUUUUGGUAUUCCGAAAGGCAUGCCUGUUUGAGUGUCAUUAAAUUCUCAACUCUAUAGUCUUGACUAUAGAGCUUGGACUUGGAGUGUGCUGGCGCAAGUCAGCUCCUCUCUAAAUGCAUUAGCAUAAGGUUGUAGACUUUUAGCAGUCGGUGUGAUAAGUAUCUUCACCGGUCCAUACUGUGAACGUUGAAGCCUAGCUUCUAACUGUCCGCAAGGACAACACUUAGUGUUUGACCUCAAAUCAGGUAGGACUACCCGCUGAACUUAA
rnacentral:misc_RNA from 1 species